rnacentral:rRNA from 1 species
AUUGAACGCUGGCGGCAUGCUUUACACAUGCAAGUCGAACGGCAACGCGGGCUUCGGCCUGGCGGCGAGUGGCGAACGGGUGAGUAAUGCAUCGGAACGUGCCCAGUAGUGGGGGAUAGCCCGGCGAAAGCCGGAUUAAUACCGCAUACGACCUGAGGGUGAAAGCGGGGGACCGAAAGGCCUCGCGCUAUUGGAGCGGCCGAUGUCGGAUUAGCUAGUUGGUGGGGUAAAGGCUUACCAAGGCGACGAUCCGUAGCUGGUCUGAGAGGACGACCAGCCACACUGGGACUGAGACACGGCCCAGACUCCUACGGGAGGCAGCAGUGGGGAAUUUUGGACAAUGGGGGCAACCCUGAUCCAGCCAUGCCGCGUGCGGGAAGAAGGCCUUCGGGUUGUAAACCGCUUUUGUUCGGGAAGAAAUCCUCUGGGCUAAUACCCCGGGGGGAUGACGGUACCGGAAGAAUAAGCACCGGCUAACUACGUG